CUCCUGCCUUGCACCCUGUGUUGGCUGGGAUUGGCUCCAGCAGACCCCCCGUGACCCUGUGUUAGGAUAUAGCGGGUUGGACAAUGACUGACGCUUGGAGCCUCCACCCUGACCGCCCGAGCACCGCGAGUCUUUAGUCGAGUCCGGGGGAUACAAGGGUGGGCAUGAGAAGAAAAGGUUCCAAGCCUCUGCUUAAUCCUAAAUACGGAGAUACCGGGAGCAACACGCGGCACCUCAGUCUUAUCCUCAUUCAGCUACAGCCAUCCAGCUCUUAACGGCAGUCAGACAUUCAGCAGACGAUUUCUGAAGGUCCAGCGGGUUUAAAGGAAAAAAACGCUUUGGUCCUGCAGUGCUUGUUUAAAGGUCCACGCUGGGCCCAAGGGUCUCUUAAAAAUGAAGGAAUAUCUGCACUUCAGUGAGCGGGCAGUCCACAAAGGGUGGUACAGGGUAAGGGUAGAGUUCAGCAUGUUCCCAAGUGAGAGAAGCAAGUUUCAUGCCAGUGCAGAAGGGCACACACUGGCAAGGCAGCAAGCCCUAUAAAUAUACCGGGUACUCUGAACUACAGCCUGGGCACCUGAGGAGGGUUGAGUGUUAGGUGCCACCUGGAAGGAAGAUUAUGACCUUAGAAAUGUGCCUCAAGGUGCCCAUCAGUGAGGCUUCUUCUACUCACUGAUAUCUACCCACCUGAUGUAUAGUCCAUUAAUUGAACUC